rnacentral:rRNA from 1 species
UUACCUGGGUUUAUCCUGCCAGUAGUCAUAUGCUUGUCUCAAAGAUUAAGCCAUGCAUGUCUCAGUACAGGCCGACCUAAGGCGAAACCGCGAAUGGCUCAUUAAAUCAGUCAUGAUUCAUUGGAUGUAGUAAAAAUCCAAUUUUUACUCGGAUAACUGUGGUAAUUCUAGAGCUAAUACAGGCGAUCGAGCUCCGACCCCGGCCGGCGUGUCCAGCGCCCGUUGGCCGACCUCCCAACCCGUCGCCCUUCGCGGCGCGGGCGGACGGACCCGGCGGCGGGUUUAGCGGCGUCGGUGCCAUUGGGGGAAGGGCGCUUUUAUUAGAUCAAAGACUGACUUCCGGGCUUCGGUCCGGACGCUUAAAAAAAGGUCGAUGAUGACUCUGAAUAACCUAGCCGAGCGCUGCGGUCCUAGUACCGGCGCCGUAUCCUUCGAGUGUCUGCCUUAUCAGCUUUCGAUUGUAGGUUAAACGCCUACAAUGGCUGUAACGGGUAACGGGGAAUCAGGGUUCGAUUCCGGAGAGGGAGCCUGAGAAACGGCUACCACAUCUAAGGAAGGCAGCAGGCACGCAAAUUACCCACUCCCGGCACGGGGAGGUAGUGACGAAAAAUAACGAUGCGGGACUGGAUCCAUUGGAGGGCAAGUCUGGUGCCAGCAGCCGCGGUAAUUCCAGCUCCAAUAGCGUAUAUUAAUGUUGCUGCGGUUAAAAAGCUCGUAGUUUGACUUCCUGUUCGGGGCGGGCAGCAGUUUUGGCCCCGCGCGGGUCGAAGCUCUCCCGUUCGCCGACGGGGAGCGCGGAGGGCCCUUUUUUUAAUGGUCGCCCGCGUCGCAUUUUACGGUGCGCGCGUUUUCGUCGCCCCCGGGUCCCCGUGUCCUUUCCCCGCGCUUUAACGGCGGGGAUGUGCGCGGUGGAUGCGAGGAGCGCGGCGCGAGGCAAAAAAGAGAUUCGUUUUUCGAACGUCGUUCGGAGGAGGCGUUCGGGACGGACCGCGGCAGCAGCAGCACUGGUCGCGGCGGCGUCGAAGAGUUAGUUGGUCGGCUAGCUAGCUAGCUAGUUACUAGCGAGGAAGGAAGGGAGCCAGCGAGUGAGCGAGCGAGAGUCGGGCCAAAAAGGCUUCCGCGAUCGCGGGCGCGCACGAGCGAGUAUCGGGNGGGUUCUCCAUUCGGUACGUCGUCUUCGUUGUCGCGUUCGGACGCGGGAGUUCCUUUCCGUCGUCUCCUCCUCCUCCUCCUCUUAUUACUCCUCCUAGUNGUGCUGCUACUACUACUACCACUAGCUCGUCAAAAUCCGUCGUCGUCGACUGUGUGUGCGUGUCGCGGCCGAACCACCCCGCAACGCUUACUUCGGCGGCGUGUCGAGCAGCGGUCUCGCCAAAAAAAACCUCGGCCGCGUUUUCCCCUUCCACCGAGGAGCUCCCCCUCCUAGCGGGUUUCGGAACGGGUGAGCCCGUCGGGGAAUCACGGCGGCCGCGUACGCGCGACGCGUAAGCGACAUUUUAAAAAGCCUCCGGUCUUCGCUCCUCCCGGCGAAUCAUGGCGGGAGUUUAAAAGCGACGAUUUCCGUCGCGGGUGCCAAACAACCUCCCGCACCCGGACUCUUUUAAACCCGCCGACGCUCACGGGGUGCUCUUCACCGGGUGCCCCGCGUGGUCGGCAAUUACACUUUGAAAAAAUUAGAGUGCUCAAAGCAGGCUUCUAAACGAAAAUGCCUGAAUGGUGGUGCAUUCGGGACACCGAGGUAAUGAUUAAUGGAAGCGGUCGGGGGCAUUAGUAUUGCGGCGCUAGAGGUGAAAUUCUUGGACCGUCGCAAGACUGACUACAGCGAAAGCAUUUGCCAAGUACGCUUUCAUUAAUCAAGAACGAAAGUUAGAGGAUCGAAGGCGAUCAGAUACCGCCCUAGUUCUAACCGUAAACGAUGCUAACUGGCGAUCCGCCGGAGUCAAUCCCACGACUCGGCGGGGAGCCCCCGGGAAACCGAAGUUUUCGAGUUCCGGGGGAAGUAUGGUUGCAAAGCUGAAACUUAAAGGAAUUGACGGAAGGGCACCACCAGGAGUGGAGCCUGCGGCUUAAUUUGACUCAACACGGGGAACCUCACCAGGUCCGGGCACCGGAAGGAUUGACAGAUUGAGAGCUCUUUCUCGAUUCGGUGGAUGGUGGUGCAUGGCCGUUCUUAGUUGGUGGAGCGAUCUGUCUGGUUCUGAUUCCGAUAACGAACGAGAUUCUUUUNUGCUAACUAGUCGGCGAAUCGUCUCCCAAGAAGGGUCCUUCCCGGUUGGUAUCGGCGUCGAAUUNUUCGCCGCCCCCGUCGCUUAGCGUGGAGGUCGUUUUCUCAGCUUUACACCCACUNUUUUUCGUCGGUCGGUCAGCAGUAGGAGGGGUGGCCGCUGCAAAGCGGCUUCUUACCUCCGUUCUGCUGUUUCGGCCGGCGUUGGGGGCCCGGGUGUGGGCGAGGGGCGUCUUCGCGUGGCGGCGGCGGGAUCAGGUGACGGGGAAGCGUCGUACCUCCGCGCGUUGGUCCCAGCGAGGGGCGUUCGUCGCAACAUCUUCUUAGAGGGAUCGGCAGCGUCUAGCUGCAUGAGAUGGAGCAAUAACAGGUCUGUGAUGCCCUUAGAUGUUNUGGGCCGCACGCGCGCUACAAUGAAGGGAUCAGCGUGCUUUCCCCCUCCGAAAGGAGCGGGUAACCCGUUGAAACCCCUUCCCGAUUGGGAUUGGGGAUUGUAAGUGUUUCCCAUGAACGAGGAAUUCACUAGUAAGCGCAAGUCAUUAGCUUGCGAUGAUUACGUCCCUGCCCUUUGUACACACCGGCCCGUCGCUACUACCGAUUGAAUGAUUCGGUGAGGGCAUCGGACUGGCGCCCUCGAAGCGCCGGCGGCGGCCCAAACGCCGUCGUCGUGUCGCUCCCGGGCUGACGGAAAGAUGU